UGGGGAAUAUUGGACAAUGGGGGAAACCCUGAUCCAGCGAUGCCGCGUGAGUGAAGAAGGCCUUAGGGUUGUAAAGCUCUUUCAGGAGGGACGAUGAUGACGGUACCUCCAGAAGAAGCACCGGCUAACUUCGUGCCAGCAGCCGCGGUAAUACGAAGGGUGCAAGCGUUGUUCGGAAUUACUGGGCGUAAAGAGCGCGUAGGCGGUCUUUUAAGUCAGACGUGAAAGCCCUGGGCUCAACCCGGGAAUGGCGUUUGAUACUGGAAGACUAGAGAUUCAAAGGGGUGAGUGGAAUUCCUAGUGUAGAGGUGAAAUUCGUAGAUAUUAGGAGGAACAUCAGUGGCGAAGGCGACUCACUGGUUGAAUACUGACGCUAAGGCGCGAAAGCGUGGGGAGCAAACAGGAUUAGAUACCCGCGUAGUCC
rnacentral:rRNA from 1 species